rnacentral:rRNA from 1 species
UACGGGGGGGGGCAAGCGUUGUUCGGAAUUAUUGGGCGUAAAGAGCUCGUAGGCGGCUUGUCGCGUCGACUGUGAAAACCCGCGGCUCAACUGCGGGCUUGCAGUCGAUACGGGCAGGCUAGAGUUCGGUAGGGGAGACUGGAAUUCCUGGUGUAGCGGUGAAAUGCGUAGAGAUGUGGAGGAACACCAGUGGCGAAGGCGGCUCUCUGGACUGUAACUGACGCUGAGGCGCGAAAGCGUGGGGAGCAAACAGG